rnacentral:lncRNA from 1 species
UUUGGUCACUAAAAGUAUACAUGCCGAAAGUACACCUUUAUCUAACCAAACUUUUUUAAGUUGAAUUCUUCUACUCAAAACAGAACCAGAGAUAAUCAACCAUAGAAUCAUAUAGAAAAAAUUGUGUAUUAAAAUUACGAAUGGAUAUAAUCUAGAGUUUAUAAAAUAAAUGAAUCAACACAAUAAAGUGGAACAGGAGUCACCGUGGCCGCCGAAAAUGAUAGAGGCGCCAUUCUGCUUGUUCUAUUUUUCUCCGGCAUUUGCAAUUCUUGAGACUCUAUUCUCUUAUGCAGCGUGUAUAUUAUGUCGACAACCCUUUGAACUAGAUACAUUCGACUGAUAUUUUUCUUCUAUCAGUAUCGAUCGAAUUUGAGUCAACUUUCUGGCAUCGGUCUUGACCCUCUCAUCAACGGUGUCAUUUAAAAGAGCCCUUAAAGAUAAAGCACCUUCAACAAUGUUGAAGAAAUUGCUGUAAUCUAUUUCGCUGUCGUUGGGAAAAAAACUCUUGAAUUCGCAGUUGCCAAGACAUGAUUUAAAGUAGCAUAUACAGGCAAUGAAUCGACUACGUUCAUGCUUGGGCAUGAUGUUCUUGCUGCAUAAGAAAAUAAAAUUUGAUAAAUAACUUUUCCAAACUUCAAAUGAUGCGCCGAGAGUGCAAUGUGUAACACGUUAAGGUAUGAUUUAUGAUAGCUUUAAAAGGGUACUGUGCAAUCCCCUAACCCGAACAACAAAGAGAUAUAUGUUAAAAGUAAACGUUUAACUAACAAAAUAUGUUUAAAUAAAUAUUAUAAACGACAAAAUUUUGAUUUUGUCACUAAAAGUAUACAUGCCGAAAGUACACGUUUAGUUAACAAAAUUGUUUUAGGUUACAUUCUUCUACUCAAAGCAGAACCAAAGGUAAUCAACCAUAGAAUCAUAUAGAAAAAAUUGUGUAUUAAAAUUACGAAUGGAUAUAAUCUAGAGUUUGUAACAUAAAUGAAUCAACACAAUAAAGUGGAACUGGAGUCACCGCGGCCGCCGAAAAUGAUAGAGGCGCCAUUCUGUUUGUUCUACUUUUCUCUGGCAUUUACAAUUCUUGAGACUCUAUUCUCUUAUGCAGCGUGUAUAUUAUGCCGGCAGCCCUUUGAACUAGAUACCUUCGACUGAAGUUUUUCUUUUCUCAGUAUCGAUCGAAUUUGAGUCAGUUUUCCGGCAUCGGUCUUGACCCUCUCAUCAACGGUGUCAUUUAAAAGAGCCCUUAAAGAUAAAGCACCUUUAACAAUUUUGAAGAAAUUGCUGUAAUCUAUUUCACUGUCGUUGGAAAAAAAACUCUUGAAUUCGCAGUUGCCUGGGCAUGAUUUAAAGUAGCAUAUACAGGCAAUGAAUCGACUACGUUCAUGCUUGGGCAUGAUGUUCUUGUUGGAUAAGAAAAUCAAAAUUGAUAAAUGACUUUUCAAAACUUCAAAUGAUGGGCCGAGAGUGCAACGUGUAACACGCUAAGGUAUGAUUUAUGAUAGCUUUUAACGGGUAAUGUGGAAUCCCCUAACCCUAACAAGAAAGAGAUAUAUGUUAAAAGUAAACGUUUAACUAACAAAACCUGUUUAAAUAAAUAUUAUAAACGACAAAAUGUUGAUUUUGUCACUAAAAGUAUACAUGCUGAAAGUACACGUUUAGCUAACAAAAUUAUUUUAGGUUAAAUUCUUCUACUCAAAGCAGAACCAGAGGUAAUCAACCAUAGAAUCAUAUAGAAAAAAUUAUGUAUUAAAAUUAGGAAUGGAUAUAAUCUAGAGUUAUAACAUAAAUGAAUCAACACAAUAAAGUGGAACUGGAGUUACCGUGGCAGCCGAAAAUGAUAGAGGCGUCAUUCUGCUUGUUCUACUUUUCUCUGGCAGUUGC